rnacentral:rRNA from 1 species
GCAUAUCAAUAAGCGGAGGAAAAGAAACUAACAAGGAUUCCCUUAGUAACGGCGAGUGAAGCGGGAAGAGCUCAAAUUUGAAAUCUUCAAGGUUCUACCUUGACGAAUUGUAGUUUAAAGAAGUGUUUUCUGUUAGAUGAGUAGCAAAAGUUCCUUGGAAUGGGACAUCAUAGAGGGUGAGAAUCCCGUAUUUGGUUAUUCAUUCUAGCUUUGUGAUACACUUUCAAAGAGUCGGAUUGUUUGGGAAUGCAGUCCAAAAUGGGUGGUAAAUUUCAUCUAAAGCUAAAUAUUGGCGAGAGACCGAUAGCGAACAAGUACCGUGAGGGAAAGAUGAAAAGAACUUUGAAAAGAGAGUUAAACAGUACGUGAAAUUGUCAAAAGGGAAGCGUUUGACACCAGUGUUGUUUUUCCGAAAAUCAAUUACGAAUGGCUUGAUUUUGUGUUGUAUUGACCUUAUCAGCUUUCUGCACUUUUUUCGAGUCUUUCUUAAUGCACUUUUCGGUUAACAAGUCAACAUCAAUUUCUUUUGUUGUAAAAGAGUAUUCGGAAGGUGGCUUUCUUUUCGGAGAAAGUGUUUAUAGCCCUAUACUUCUACAAUCGGAGAGAUUGAGGUCUGCAGUGUAGAUCCUUCGGGGUUAGAUACACUUGUGCUAAGUUGUAGCUUUUCAUAGACAACUUGUUGACUAUGUUUAGUCAUGCGGCUUACUCGCUUGUGCUAUUUUACCUACGCUUAGGAUGUUGACAAAAUGGUUUUAAACGACCCGUCUUGAAACACGGACC